GUUCCAUCAGUGAGCCAGGAUGGUGGAGGACUUGAUUUUUUUAAAUUUUAUUUUUGAUGCUCCUUCUAGGCUCCAGACUCACUGGAGACAUUCUGACACAUAAUGCUUCGCCCAGCACAAUGCGAUGCCCUUUACCUAGUAAAAGGGUGAGUCCCGUAAAGGUGCUGCCUUCCCCCCAGAACAAACAAGGGAAAUGCAUCAGGAGAGCUCAGCUGCAGACAGAAUGCACAUCAUGAAGCAGGAGCCACCCUGGGAUUCCUCAGAUGAAAGCCAAUUUCAAUGAACAUUGUGUUUCAAAGCCCGCUUCCUCUUGCUCGGUAAGAGCUGCAGAAGGAACAUCCCACUUGCGUCUGCUGACACAAAAGAAUGCUGUGGCUGGGAGAUCUUAUCGAGCCUUCCUGUGCCACAGCAACAGAGCUCCAGUUGUGUCUUGUAAGAAUUGGUCAUUGUUUCAUGGGGACGACUGGCUCCUUUGGGUGGGAUCUGAUGGCAUCUCAUGGAGUUGAGGUUGUCUGCCAACGCUAACUGGCCAGCUCUGACAGGAGGUGCGUGGCCCAGGAGGAGCCAUCAGGCCAGUUCUCUGGGAUACUGCUGUGUCUCCAGCUCUGCAGUUUGCUCUGCAUCACUCAGCGGCAGACGGAGAGGCAGACACGAGCCCCUUGUGAGCCCUCCUCCUUACCGUCAUCCCACAAUGCUCUGAAAUAAGGAGGCAAAUGGCUGAGGUCCCCUCAGUUGUAGAUGUGAUUGAGUUCUAUCUACCAGAAGCAUAUGCCUCCUGGAAGCCCGGUUCUAACACCUCCCACAAAAUCCUUCAAGCGCUUUUUUCUGUUCCAAUGUUUGCUUAUGGGGGACCCAGUGAAGUGCUUCAGAGCCCUAGAGAUAUGCUGAGUCAUAUGAGGGGUCAGCAAACUUUUCCUGUAAAGGGUCAGAUAAUAAACAUUUUAAGCUUUGUAGACUGUAUAAAGUCUCUGUUUCUUCUCCCCCUCCUCCUCCUCUUUCUCCUUCAGCUUCUUUCCUUUAAAUAUGUACAAAACCUUUCUUCUUUUCCAAAAUCUGUCUAUAUUUGA
ensembl:lincRNA